ensembl:lncRNA
GUUUUCUCUCUGUUCUCUCGUUCUAUUUUCUCUCUUUGUGUCAGUAAUGUACUGAAGUCUUUUUCAGCCCCCCUCAUAUUUCUACCCCCUCUUUUUUCUUUCUUUCUCUCUCCCCCUGUCUUUCCAUCUGUCUCUCUCUCCAUAAUUACUGUCGCUCUCUGAUAGGAUUGUUUUUCUCAGGUGAGCGCGCCCAGUUCUCAUCGCCGUGGGAACAGCUCGACACUAAAUUAUAACUUCUGCUCCAUAACAGAGCCGUGCGAAAGAACCACUGUGUUAAAAACAGAAAUAGAAGCAAGGAGAGGCAGAGAAAAUGGCAGAAUGAACAUCUUAAUUGUUUUUGUUUGUUUGUUUGCCAGUGUUGUGGGUAAUUAGCACAUUGUGAGAGAGGCGUGAAUAAGUGUGGAAAACUCGUCAGGCGGAAAGAAGUGGUGUUCAUUUGUGGCGUUCAGCUCCUGCUGCUGUAAACACACACACCUGAACACACACCUGCAGAAACACACACGCCACAUGCAUCUUUCAAUUCAAAGUUAUUUUUUCACUUAAGAUUAUUAUGCAAAUUAGACUUUAUAGUUAUAUGAAAUAAACAUUGAGUCUAUUUACGUAAAUACACAUUUCUAUUGUGAACAAUUCAUCCGUGUGGGUUAUUCUGUAGAGUGUAUUGUUUAGUAGCUUUGCCUUUAAUCAUAAAGUCUGGUUCACUCUUGCAUCUCAUUCUGGUCAAUAAGUUUUUUCUAUGUGACAUUUAAAGUAAAAAUUAAGCAGUUGCGCUGCUGUUUGCAUCUAAAUUUCAAAUAAAAUGAGUUUUUAUUCUGUAGAAUAUGAUUCUAUUGUGCUCUGAAUGUGUUGGCAAGACUGGAUGUUGUACCUGUAGGUGAUCGGAUCAGAUAUGGACAGAGGCUGCCGUAUUGAUCGAUUCACUCGUGUGUCAUUGAGUCUGCUGUGAGACGGGAAACCCUGCAGUCAGAGAAAUGAGCCUCUGAACACCAACUGCUGCGAUUCUGCUUUCCAUUCACUGCUGUCUGUGUGAGCAUAUAUACAUCGCCAAGCUACGGGACAUGUUACACUCGAGAAGAGAUGAUGCCGACCCCUCCGAGGACCCCAGAUGAUGCCAACCCUGAAACAACAUGCAAAACUAUCAAAUUUUCCUAUUUUACCAGCUGACAGAUGAAUAGAGUUUCUCUGGACACACAACAUUUAACAUCAUCAACAACAACAAAAUACGGGUCGUAAACUCACUGUGGGAGCAUCUGCACACGGAACGAGACGUGAUGGUCUAAUCUGAAACCCUAACACAGAAGUCUCAGGUGAUGCUUAAAACAAGAUCUCCAGUGACCUCUUGAGAUUUUCCAGUGAUUUCAUCACUAAUCUCUCGCACAAGGCUCUCCCACAAAGUGAUUUUGACCGAUCAAUUUAAUGCAGCAUUGGGAAGCACUCUACGCUUUUAAAAACAAAGGGUCUUUAUUGAUAUUGAUGGUUCCUUUCCAUUGCACAAGCGGUUCUUUAUGAUCUUCACACUGCACUCUUUCUAAACAGGUGUUUUAACAUUGAUGCCAUGAAAGAACCAUUUUCAGUUCCCCAAAGAACAGAACCAAUUUUUUCUUAGUUUGAAGAACAUUUAAAAAAUCUAAAGAACCUUUUCUCACUUCGAAGAACCUUUUUGACAUCAGUGGAAUCUUUGAAUUCCAACAAUUGCCAAACAUUUGACGGCAGCCAUUGACAUUGAGCCAUUGAAGUAUGGAAAAAAUACAAUGGAAGUCAAUGGCUACUGUCAACUGUUUGAUUUCAUUUUUGGGUGAGCUCCCAUUUUAAAACACACAAAAAAAUAAAGGAUUGCACUGAUAUUGUUCAUCAGGAUACCUCUUCUCUUGUCACUGAAAAUGUCUGGAUUUUUAAGUCUUCUUGCAGACUCUCAUUUUAAAUGGUGUUUAGUUAUCUACAGCACUUUAAAAACAUACGUAACUGGAAACUAGCAAGCUAUACUAUUUGUAAACAAAAAUGUGUCACGAAAUUCAGUGCAAGUCCAUGAAAGGUUCUUUUGGGAACCAAAAUGAUUCUCCCAAGGCACUGCUGUGAAAACCUCCUUUCAGAACCUGUUUUUAAGAGUUUGGUUAAACCCUCAAGCCUUUAUUUUAUAUUAAACUGCAGGAUGUCCUUUAAGCAGAAUAAAGUGGACCUGAAGCGUUUCGAGUUCAUCAGAUAGAACUGCUCUCAAACUCCUGAAACAAACAGAGUGUGAAAACAGCCAAACGCUCGUCACAAGUCAUUGAGUUUUUCUUGCUCUGGAAAAUGUCUUUGCCCUGGACUGAACCGAGGCGUGUCGUCCCCACGGUGCUGCGGCUCAACACUUUCCCGUAUCUGCUGCUAGCAACAUCCGGGUCAUGGCUUUGAUUCCAGGGAAUGCAUGAACCAGUCAACCUCGAACGCAAUGUAAAGAUGAAAGCAUCUGAUAAUGCAUACGCGAGAAGGCGUUCCUUUACCGUUGUCCAGGAUGCAUUAGCGUUGACAUUACAAAUGUGAUGUGCUCGCAUGUGUUUCUGACUAAUUAUUGCACCCACUAAUUUACUCCACCGUUUAUUUGCAUGCUGUCUUUGUUGUUUAGUGCUCGAUUCGCUGAAUGAAUUUCGCAGAUCAGGUACUGACACAACAGACGCCCACAAAAUUAGUGCUGAUCACUGUUUGCACACUGAACACAGUUUUCUCUUUAUUCCUGUUUA